AAUGCACCAAUUUGUAAGUCGCUCUGGAUAAGAGGGUCUGCUAAAUGUCUUAAA
rfam:Salmo salar isolate Sally breed double haploid chromosome ssa01, whole genome shotgun sequence.